rnacentral:rRNA from 1 species
UACGUAGGGUGCGAGCGUUGUCCGGAAUUAUUGGGCGUAAAGAGCUCGUAGGCGGUCUGUCGCGUCGGUCGUGAAAACUUGGGGCUUAACCCUGAGCUUGCGGUCGAUACGGGCAUGACUGGAGUUCGGCAGGGGAGACUGGAAUUCCUGGUGUAGCGGUGAAAUGCGCAGAUAUCAGGAGGAACACCGGUGGCGAAGGCGGCUUGCUGGGCCAGUUCUGACGCUGAGGAGCGAAAGCGUGGGGAGCGAACAGG